AUUGAACGCUGGCGGCAGGCCUAACACAUGCAAGUCGAGCGGAUGAAGGGAGCUUGCUCCUGGAUUCAGCGGCGGACGGGUGAGUAAUGCCUAGGAAUCUGCCUGGUAGUGGGGGAUAACGUCCGGAAACGGGCGCUAAUACCGCAUACGUCCUGAGGGAGAAAGUGGGGGAUCUUCGGACCUCACGCUAUCAGAUGAGCCUAGGUCGGAUUAGCUAGUUGGUGGGGUAAAGGCCUACCAAGGCGACGAUCCGUAACUGGUCUGAGAGGAUGAUCAGUCACACUGGAACUGAGACACGGUCCAGACUCCUACAGGAGGAAGCAGUGGGGAAUAUUGGACGAUGGGCGAGAGCCUGAUCCAGCCAUGCCGCGUAUGUGAAGAAGGUCUUCGGAUUGUAAAGCGCUGUAAGUUGGGGGGAAGGACAGUAAGUUAAUACCUUGCUGUUUUGACGUUACCAACAGAAUAAGCACCGGCUAACUUCGUG
rnacentral:rRNA from 1 species